rnacentral:rRNA from 1 species
UACGUAGGAGGCAAGCGUUGUCCGGAAUUACUGGGCGUAAAGCGCGUGUAGGUGGUGGGACAAGUCUGCUGUGAAAGCGCCUGGCUUAACCGGGCGAGGUCUGCGGAAACUGUCGCACUCGAGGACGGUAGAGGGGGGUGGAAUUCCCGGUGUAGUGGUGAAAUGCGUAGAGAUCGGGAGGAACACCUGUGGCGAAGGCGGCCCCCUGGGCCGGCCCUGACACUGAGACGCGAAGGCGUGGGGAGCGAACGGG